CCUACGGGGGGCAGCAGUGAGGAAUAUUGGUCAAUGGACGAGAGUCUGAACCAGCCAAGUAGCGUGAAGGAUGACUGCCCUAUGGGUUGUAAACUUCUUUUAUAUGGGAAUAAAAUGUUCCACGUGUGGGAUUUUGUAUGUACCAUAUGAAUAAGGAUCGGCUAACUCCGUGCCAGCAGCCGCGGUAAUACGGAGGAUCCGAGCGUUAUCCGGAUUUAUUGGGUUUAAAGGGAGCGUAGGUGGAUUGUUAAGUCAGUUGUGAAAGUUUGGGGCUCAACCGUAAAAUUGCAGUUGAAACUGGCAGUCUUGAGUACAGUAGAGGUAGGCGGAAUUCGUGGUGUAGCGGUGAAAUGCUUAGAUAUCACGAAGAACUCCGAUUGCGAAGGCAGUUCACUGGACUGCAACUGACACUGAGGCUCGAAAGUGUGGGUAUCAAACAGGAUUAGAUACCCGUGUAGUC
rnacentral:rRNA from 1 species